rnacentral:rRNA from 1 species
GACGAACGCUGGCGGCGUGCUUAACACAUGCAAGUCGAACGGAAAGGCCCUGCUUUUGUGGGGUGCUCGAGUGGCGAACGGGUGAGUAACACGUGAGUAACCUGCCCUUGACUUUGGGAUAACUUCAGGAAACUGGGGCUAAUACCGGAUAGGAGCUCCUGCUGCAUGGUGGGGGUUGGAAAGUUUCGGCGGUUGAGGAUGGACUCGCGGCUUAUCAGCUUGUUGGUGGGGUAGUGGCUUACCAAGGCUUUGACGGGUAGCCGGCCUGAGAGGGUGACCGGCCACAUUGGGACUGAGAUACGGCCCAGACUCCUACGGGAGGCAGCAGUGGGGAAUAUUGCACAAUGGGCGGAAGCCUGAUGCAGCAACGCCGCGUGCGGGAUGACGGCCUUCGGGUUGUAAACCGCUUUCGCCUGUGACGAAGCGUGAGUGGCGGUAAUGGGUAAAGAAGCACCGGCUAACUACGUG